rnacentral:tRNA from 1 species
CCGUCACCGUGGUGGCGGCCUUGCUGCCCUGCACCUGGAUGGUGCUUUGGGCGGCUCCGGCCUGUCCCACCUGGUUGGGGUCCAAGGUGGCGGUC